UACGAAGGGGGCUAGCUUUGCUCGGAAUCACUGGGCGUAAAGCGCACGUAGGCGGAUUGUUAAGUCAGGGGUGAAAUCCUGGAGCUCAACUCCAGAACUGCCUUUGAUACUGGCGAUCUCGAGUCCGGGAGAGGUGAGUGGAACUGCGAGUGUAGAGGUGAAAUUCGUAGAUAUUCGCAAGAACACCAGUGGCGAAGGCGGCUCACUGGCCCGGUACUGACGCUGAGGUGCGAAAGCGUGGGGAGCAAACAGG
rnacentral:rRNA from 1 species